CAGAGGUCCCAAGCGUUGUUCGGAUUCACUGGGCGUAAAGGGUGCGUAGGCGGUCAGGUAAGUCUGAUGUGAAAUCUCUGGGCUUAACCCAGAAAUGGCAUUGGAUACUAUUUGGCUUGAGAGUUGGAGGGGGGACUGGAAUUCUUGGUGUAGCAGUGAAAUGCGUAGAUAUCAAGAGGAACACCAGAGGCGAAGGCGAGUCCCUGGACAACUUCUGACGCUGAGGCACGAAAGCUAGGGGAGCAAACAGGAUUAGAUACCCUGGUAGUCCUAGCUGUAAACGGUGCUUAUUUGCUGUAAAAGGAAUCGACCCCUUUUGUGGCGUAGCAAACGCGUUAAAUAAGCCGCCUGGGAAGUACGGUCGCAAGAUUA
rnacentral:rRNA from 1 species